rnacentral:rRNA from 1 species
ACGAACGCUGGCGGCAGGCCUAACACAUGCAAGUCGAGCGGGGCCGUGUAGCAAUACAUCAGCUGGCAGACGGGAGAGUAACACGUGGGAACCCCCUUCCUCGUUGUACGGGAAUAACUCAGGGAAAACUUGAGCUAAUACCGUAUACGUCCCGUAGCGGAGGAAAGAUUCUAUUCGCAAUGAGAACGGGCCCGCCGUUCCGGAUUAGGCUAGUUGGUGAGGGUAAUGGCUCACCAAGGCGAACGAUCCGUAGCUGGAUCUGAGAGGAUGAUCCAGCCCUCACUGGGACUGAGACACGGCCCAGACUCCUACGGGAGGGCAAGCAGUGGGGAAUAUUGGACAAUGAGCGCAAGCCUGAUCCAGCCAUGGCCGCGUGGGUGAUGAAGGCCCUAGGGUUGUAAAGCCCUUUCAGCGGGGAAGAUAACGACGGUACCCGCAGAAGAAGCCCCGGCUAACUUCGUGCCAGCAGCCGCGGUAAUACGAAGGGGGCUAGCGUUGCUCGGAAUUACUGGGGCGUAAAAGGCGCACGUAGGCGGCUUUCUAAGUCGGGGGUGGAAAUCCUGGAGCUCAACUCCAGAACUGCCUUCGAUACUGGAAAGCUCGAGUCCGGGAAGGAGGUGAGUGGAACUGCGAGUGUAGAGGUGAAAUUCGUAGAUAUUCGCAAGAACACCAGUGGCGAAGGCGGCUCACUGGCCCGGUAACUGACGCUUGAGGUGCGAAAAAGCGUGGGGAGCAAACAGGAAUUAGAUACCCUGGUAGUCCACGCCGGUAAACGAUGGAUGCUAGCCGUUGGCCGAGCCUUGCUCGUCAGUGGCGCAAGCUAACGCUUUAAGCAUCCCGCCUGGGGAGUACGGUCGCAAGAUUAUAAAACUCAAAGGAAUUGACGGGGGGCCCGCACAAGCGGUGGAGCAUGUGGUUCAAUUCGAAGCAACGCGCAGAACCUUACCAGCCCUUGACAUGUCCUCUAUGGAUUCCAGGGACGGAGUCCUUCACUUCGGGUGGGAGGAACACAGGUGCUGCAUGGCUGUCGUCAGCUCGUGUCGUGAGAUGUUGGGUUUAAGUCCUGCAACGAGCGCAACCCUCGCCCUUAGUUGCCAUCAUUUAGUUGGGCACUCUAAGGGGACUGCCGGUGAUAAGCCGGAGGAAGGUGGGGAUGACGUCAAGUCCUCAUGGCCCUUACGGGCUGGGCUACACACGUGCUACAAUGGCGGUGACAGAGGGAUGCAAAGGGGCGGACCCUUCGCAAAUCUCAAAAAUCCGUCUCAGUUCGGAUUGGGGUCUGCAACUCGACCCAUGAAGUUGGAAUCGCUAGUAAUCGCAGAUCAGCACGCUGCGGUGAAUACGUUCCCGGGCCCUUGUACACACCGCCCCGUCACACCAUGGGAGUUGGCUUUAACCUGAAGACGGUGCGCUAACCGCAAGGAGGCAGCCGGCCACGGUAGGGUUCAGCGACUUGGGGUG